CUUUUUAUAUUUUAAAAAAUUGUUUUCUUAAAGUUUACUUUCAUUCUUUUAGUAUAUAGUUAUUGUUUAAAUCUUUUCGUGAAUAAAUCUAAUUCUUUUAGUUUGAAAGUAUUAUUUUCAGAGAUUUCUAAUCAAAGACAGUCUUAUUUGGAAGUGAAAAAGAUCAAGAAACAAGGAAGUGAAGAGAGCUCUCCAGAACUGUACAUGUCAUUGUGACAUUACCAUUAAGGUGAAGUUAUUUAAACAUUAUUCUUUUUUCAUAUAAUAUCUUGUUUUGUUUGUGAAUUGUGUUGUCAUGGCGGCCGUCAACAAAUGUUUUCAUUUUGUCUUUUAUUGUCCAUUUAGUGCAUGCUUUUUAUAUUUUUAAAAAUUGUUUUCUUAAAGUUUACUUUCAUUCUUUUAGUAUAUAGUUUUUGUUUAAAUCUUUUGGUGAAAAAGUCUAAUUCUUUUAGUUUGAAAGUAUUAUUUUCAGAGGUUUCCAGUUAAAGACAGUCUUAUUUGGAAGUGAAAAAGAUCAAGAAACAAGGAAGUGAAGAGAGCUCUCCAGAACUGUACAUGUCAUUGUGACAUUACCAUUAAGGUGAAGUUAUUUAAACAUUAUUCUUUUUUCAUAUAAUAUCUUGUUUUGUUUGUGAAUUGUGUUGUCAUGGCGGCCGUCAACAAAUGUUUUCAUUUUGUCUUUUAUUGUCCAUUUAGUGCAUGCUUUUUAUAUUUUUAAAAAUUGUUUUCUUAAAGUUUACUUUCAUUCUUUUAGUAUAUAGUUUUUGUUUAAAUCUUUUGGUGAAAAAGUCUAAUUCUUUUAGUUUUAAAGUAUUAUUUUCAGAGGUUUCCAGUUUAAGACAGUCUUAUUUGGAAGUG